rnacentral:rRNA from 1 species
GACAGAGGGUGCAAACGUUGUUCGGAAUUACUGGGCGUAAAGCGUGCGCAGGCGGCCUUGCAAGUCGGGUGUGAAAGCCCCGGGCUCAACCUGGGAAUUGCAUUCGAGACUGAAUAGCUAGAGUACGGUAGAGGGAAGUGGAAUUUCCGGUGUAGCGGUGAAAUGCGUAGAUAUCGGAAGGAACAUCGGUGGCGAAGGCGGGUCUCUGGGCCGUAACUGACGCUGAGGAGCGAAAGCAUGGGGAGCGAACAGG